CUCACAGAAGGGACGGCAGGGAGCUGCCUCUUCGUCCAGUGGGUGAGGACACAGGAGAAGAGGCUCUCAGCAGACACUGAAACUGCCGCACUUUGCCUUGGGCUUCCAGCCUCCAGAAGGAUAUCAUACAUGUGCAGAAAUGACAGCGGUAUGGAAAACAUCGACUGGAAACAGCAGACUCCAGGGAACUCGGAGGCCUGAAGGAGUCUGCCGUCUAUGUCCUCAUGGUCACAAGGUCGCUGCUCAACCUCUGGCAGCACGUCCACAGAGCAAGUGGAACAAGAGGGAAUGCAAAGACAAAGGCCAUGCCAGCAACCCACCCAUUUUUAGAGAAGAACCACGGCUUUCCCUGAAGCCCACGCUGUGGCCAGAACUUCCUGCUUCUGCCCCCAGAGCAGCAACACUCAUGAAGAUCAUGUGUUCCCUUCAGGGGCUACUCUGAACUCCUGGGGAAGGAGAGACCCAUACUGGGUGGCCCAUGGCAGAGUCUGGCCAACAAAUACCA